rnacentral:ncRNA from 1 species
AGGCCUCAAGUGAUGUGAGACAACCCCCAGAAUUUAAGCAUAUUAAUAAGGGGAGGAGAAGAAACCAACCGGGAUUCCCUGAGUAGCUGCGAGCGAAACGGGAGAAGCUCAGCACGUAGGGACGGCGUGGAGACGCACCUGUCCGAUUCCGUGUACUGGAACGGGACCAUUAUCUACUAUGCACGGUGCACAUCAAGUCUAACUUGAAGGUGGCUCAUUAUCCCAUAGAGGGUGAUAGGCCCGUAGCAUGCGCACGCCUGUGCUGGUAGACGGUCGGCUCCAGGGAGUCGUGUUGCUUGAUAGUGCAGCACUAAGUGGGAGGUAAACUCCUUCUAAAGCUAAAUAUUGCCAUGAGACCGAUAGCGAACAAGUACCGUGAGGGAAAGUUGAAAAGCACUCUGAAUAGAGAGUCAAAUAGUACGUGAAACUGCCUAGGGUACACAAACCCGUUGAACUCAAUGAUCCGGGCGGCGAUAUUCAGCGGUGGUCGCAAGGCCGCCGUGCACUUAUCGUUCCGCAGCAAACGGACAUCGCGAUCCAUUACAAUAGCGGGUCGGGCGCUUUGCGCUGCGACCGUCCGGCAUGCGAUGGCCCCUGGCUCGUGGUGGACGGCUCCCUAGUAGGGGCGGCUUUGCGGCCGCACCGAGCGGGGGUCUCCGCGCCUUUCAUCCGAAGGGCGACUGGGUCCGACCGAGCGUGGUGUGCCGCUGGAACCGUGAUGGAUCCGAGCGUGGGACCGAGUUAGAGGCAGCCUUCUGCGAAGGUUGUCCGUUCGUGUCCCCAGAUCGGCGAUGAGCAGCAUGCAUUGAGGUACCUCCGGGACCCGUCUUGAAACACGGACCAAGAAGUCUAUCUUGCACGCAAGCCAAUGGGACCGAUACCACCGGUGUGUGGUGUCGCUCAAUCGAACACCCAUAGGCGAAGACAACUCGAUGACGUUCGUCACGGGAUUACGGGUUCGGCAUGGCGCAAGCCUUCGUCGGAUCCCUCCAUCCCAGGGUGCUCCGUCACGGGUGGGAGCGGGCCUCCGGGCGUCGUUCUACCCAGCGGGCAUCCCCGGAGUGCGCAGGAUGUGACCCGAAAGAUGGUGAACUAUGCUUGAUCAGGUCGAAGUCAGGGGAAACCCUGAUGGAGGACCGAAGCAAUUCUGACGUGCAAAUCGAUUGUCAGAGUUG